rnacentral:rRNA from 1 species
UAGUGGAAGCGUCUGGAAAGGCGCGCGAUACAGGGUGACAGCCCCGUACACAAAAGCGCAUGUGCUGUGAGCUCGAUGAGUAGGGCGGGACACGUGAUAUCCUGUCUGAAUAUGGGGGGACCAUCCUCCAAGGCUAAAUACUCCUGACUGACCGAUAGUGAACCAGUACCGUGAGGGAAAGGCGAAAAGAACCCCGGCGAGGGGAGUGAAAAAGAACCUGAAACCGUGUACGUACAAGCAGUGGGAGCACCCUUCGGGGUGUGACUGCGUACCUUUUGUAUAAUGGGUCAGCGACUUAUAUUCUGUAGCAAGGUUAACCGAAUAGGGGAGCCGGAGGGAAACCGAGUCUUAACCGGGCGUUAAGUUGCAGGGUAUAGACCCGAAACCCGGUGAUCUAGCCAUGGGCAGGUUGAAGGUUGGGUAACACUAACUGGAGGACCGAACCGACUAAUGUUGAAAAAUUAGCGGAUGACCUGUGGCUGGGGGUGAAAGGCCAAUCAAACCGGGAGAUAGCUGGUUCUCCCCGAAAGCUAUUUAGGUAGCGCCUCGUGAAUUCAUCUCCGGGGGUAGAGCACUGUUUCGGCUAGGGGGCCAUCCCGGCUUACCAACCCGAUGCAAACUGCGAAUACCGGAGAAUGUUAUCACGGGAGACACACGGCGGGUGCUAACGUCCGUCGUGAAGAGGGAAACAACCCAGACCGCCAGCUAAGGUCCCAAAGUCAUGGUUAAGUGGGAAACGAUGUGGGAAGGCCCAGACAGCCAGGAUGUUGGCUUAGAAGCAGCCAUCAUUUAAAGAAAGCGUAAUAGCUCACUGGUCGAGUCGGCCUGCGCGGAAGAUGUAACGGGGCUAAACCAU